rnacentral:rRNA from 1 species
GCCUGGGGAGUACGACCGCAAGGUUGAAACUCAAAGGAAUUGACGGGGGCCCGCACAAGCGGUGGAGUAUGUGGUUUAAUUCGACGCAACGCGAAGAACCUUACCAGGUCUUGACAUUGAUGGACAGAACCAGAGAUGGUUCCUCUUCUUCGGAAGCCAGAAAACAGGUGGUGCACGGUUGUCGUCAGCUCGUGUCGUGAGAUGUUGGGUUAAGUCCCGCAACGAGCGCAACCCCUAUCUUAUGUUGCCAGCACUUUGGGUGGGAACUCAUGAGAGACUGCCGCAGACAAUGCGGAGGAAGGCGGGGAUGACGUCAAAUCAUCACGCCCCUUAUGACCUGGGCUACACACGUACUACAAUGGGAGUUAAUAGACGGAAGCGAGAUCGCGAGAUGGAGCAAACCCGAGAAACACUCUCUCAGUUCGGAUCGUAGGCUGCAACUCGCCUACGUGAAGUCGGAAUCGCUAGUAAUCGCAGGUCAGCAUACUGCGGUGAAUACGUUCCCGGGCCUUGUNC